GGAGAAAUAGUGCCCGGCUCCCAGGGCGGAGGGAGACAGAGAGCAGCAGCAGCGGCGGCGGGAAAGCGGCUCGAAACUCCGUGUUCCCAAACGCUCGUCGCCAAGUCCCGGAGGCUCCGCGACUGCCGGCUUGGCUCGGCCCGGCCCGGCCCGGUGCAGCCCGCGGAAGGCGGCGGUGGGGCCCGCUCACGUCGGCGGAAACGCGCUCCGCUGUGGACAGUUGCCCAUUUGGCCAGAAUGAGGACAACCAGCAGGAGCUGGCAAAACAUCCUGCCAGAUCAGAACUCUCAUCUCCUUCCAGGGGAAUAACUUAGUGCAGCUAUGAGCAGAAGGACCUUGCCGUUCUUGUCACCAGAAGUUUGAUUCAAGUUUAAGAUAAGAGUCAGAGACAGUAUUCCUGGAGAUUGGUUUGGGCACUAAAAAGCGAAAAGAGUAUGAGAGGAAGAAUUAAUUUCUUUGUCCGCUGCCCGUUCUCAGCUGCCUUCCUUUACAACCUUGGGAAGAUCUGCUCUGCCUCGGUUUCACCCUCUGUAAAAUGGGAAUAAUAAUACUGACAGAGCCCUCCUUUUAGAUCCUUGGAUCAAAGGUACUAUAUAAGUUCAAAGUGCUGUUUCUAUAGGGCAUUAUUGCCAAAUUCACUAUAAGCAAUUCCAUUGGGUACUUGAUAACAACAGUAGAAUCAGUCAAACGCCCUUGAUGCAUUGCAUGGUCCCAGAUACCUUUCAGAGCGUCUUUGUGUGCCAUCCCACCCCCUGAGGUCUGCAGGGAUGGGGCUUUUGGAGCCUGGAUUUUGCAGGAGCAGGAGGGGUACGGUCCGUCUCUUUGCUUCUGGCCCCUGAACUGUGGACCGCUUUUCUUUUUGACCUGACGAGGACAACUGCAACUAGCCCUUUUAAAAACAGGUUUAAAACAUACAAGUUUUAUUUAUAUAUAUACAUUUCAUAAGGCCUUUAGUACAUAAUGCUAAACUCUUGUUGAUUUUUGGUUGCUUUAUUCUUGCAUGGUUUGUUGUCAUUUUAAUCUGCAUAUGUUUCACUGCAAAGUGGUUAGGGUACUUUCAGAUCUAGACAAAUUGCUAAUACAAAUUUGGUUAAUAUUAGCUUUGCAAUUUUUAGCUACUAGGUAGCUAAACAUUUUCUACAAUUUCACCUUAAAAAACUAAAACCCUACCCCAGGAAAACCAAUAUAUUAAUAGCUGCAAGUGUUGCAAUUAUGAUUAACCCUAAUCCUUAACAGUGUUCUUUCAAUUAUAAAAAUGUUUCUAAAGUACAUUUUAUGUUUCUGAUUUUUCUAAAAUACAGUGUGUCAUGGUCCACAAGCAAAACAGGAAGAGUAAAUGUUAUAUUAGGUAUUACAGUGUGGGGCUUCACGAGUAAAUUCAUAAGCAGCCCGGCUAUUCUCCCUCUUCUACCUUCUUUUCUUUCUCCCCCAAGAAGCACUGAGCGUGUAUCUUCAGCUUCAGAAGUUUCCUUCAAGCCCUUUUAUACUUGAAUAGGUUUGUUUUGGUGGCUGUUUGCUAGAUGAGUAUGCUGCAGACAUAUUUUUUUCAAAGGGUCAAGCAGUCUCCUAACGUGUCCAUUGUGUAGCACUGCAGUAAGAAAUCCUCAGUGCAAAGAAGAGCUUCAUGGAUAAUGAUUUAAAUGUUUUUGUUAACCUGUUUUUUUUUGUUUUUGUUUUGUUUUUGGUGAGUCAACUUUUAACAGGCUAGAAAGCAGGAAACUCAUUAAUUAAAAAUAACAAUCAGCUAAAGGUAAACUUAGUUGGUCACCUUUCCUUCUGAAAUCUGGCAUUUAGCUAUGUUUGUAAGGAACAUAGUAACGAAUGAGUAGCCACGGCACUCAUGUAAGGACAAAGCAAAAUUACCAAUUUUGGAAACAUCUAGGGCCCUGGGCCUGAAUCUUCGGUUUCCCAUAUUGAUCUUAAAGAUGUAUGCAAAAUUGGCUUUUAACCAUGCAUACUGUAGGAAUAUAUUCAAGAAUCAACUACAGAUAUUUUUUCAGGCACUGACUAAAUAUAUAUUCACUUGUCAGCAAAAAAAUACAUCAUCCUGAUCCUCUUAAAGAGGGGGGAAAAAAAAAGAAGGGAUCUUCUUCCACCAAAGUGAAGUUGUAGUGUAUUAAAAAAGUCACAUAUUUUCACUUUCAUACAGGAAUGAUGGGGAAAAGAGAGGAGAUCUUGCAAUACUCAAGCACUCUUUGAGAUACAGAACUAAUCAAUGUAACUUCUGCCUUAUACACAAGCGCUACAGUUUAUUAAUACACGUCAGAAUCUUUGCUAUGGUCAAGCAAAUAGCUGUGCCAUUCAGGCUGAGUUUCAGCAAUGAAUAAACAAACUUCUUUAUGGACAAAGAAUGAGAAUUUGGCAAACUCAAAAUACUGGUGAGAUUCCACUUUUCUCAGGAAUUGCACAAAAAACUAUGCAAGUGUGGAACUGGAUCAUUUUGAAGGAGAGACCCUACAAAUCAUUAAUAAAUUAUAUAGAAGAUACUGAUCAAAACAUCUUGUUAACUAGUUUGAAUGCCAGAAAUUGGAGCAGUCUAUAAAUCUUGCUUCAAGCAUCAGAAAUAGAAUUGUCAUUGGCCAGCAAUUUGAUUUUUAUUUUUUUUUUUUAAGUUAUUCUUUCCCUUGGUAUUCCCUAUUUUGGAUAUAUACAAUAUGCCUUAAUAUUUCCCUCUUUAAUUAAGUACAUGAGAAUGCCUACAAGAAUGUAACUGCAUUUACCACGUAUGUUUCAGAAACUGAAAAAAAGUCUCCAGCUGAUUUAGCAGCUGAGGCAUUACUCAUCAGAAUAUCUGAUUACUGGCAUAUUAAGCAGUGGAGCAGAAUAAACACGAAGCAUUGUGUCUCCCAGUACAUACAGUUUAAUUGCUACUAGCCAAAUAAACAUCAAGGUAGCUGUAUAUUCAAAAUUUAUUGCAAGAUCAUGUAAACAGAAACCCACAGUAUUGAUCCCUUUCAAAAUGUUGUCAUUAUUAAGUACACCACAGCCUUUAACAUUUCUGUGUGCCUGUCUCUCAAUGGUUAUGGGUCUCAUACUCCUCAUUUAAAACAACUGCAAUGGUUGUGUUUAGGCACCUUGGCAGAAAAACCAGCCAGAAACACGGGCAAAAACAAAAACAGUGGCAGAGGUUCGACACCUGCCUCCUCCUUCCCUAAUCAAAGUCUGUCCACCUGAAACCCUGAUUUCCUAGAGUUGUAACCCUUUAAUUGUCUGAUCUAAAUAUAUAGCUUUACUCGUAUAGAAAGCUGUCUUUAAAAAGGUGAUAUAUGUAAAUAGGUUGAUAUAUGUAAAAAGGUUGAUAGAUGUAAUUUUUGCCUUUUUCUUUCAAUAGCUGUAGGCCAGAUUUCCUUAUUCUAAGUAAUUGAUUCUAAUAUGUAAUCUUAAAACACGAUAGUAAAUUAUUAAGACCUCGUUUUUCUGUUCAGACCUCUCUUUCUUAAUUACUGUGCUGUCUGAAAAUAUGAGUAUCAGGGUAGGAGCUUCAUUUGAACAAAUCUCCAAACAGGCUGUGCAUGGAUUAGGGCUUCAGAUUUUCCUUAUGCCUCAGAAUAUUUUCCUCUUCCCUUUCUAGCUGAAACCCCUGAGCAGCUGUGAACACCUCUUGCUAUCUAGAGGCUUGGCUCCCCUAACGCUGUCCAGUCAUCUUAAGAAUCCACUGAUCAGAUGAGUUUCAAUGACCGGUAAUCAAGAUUUUCCUUAAAGCCCGCAGCAUGGAGGUGAUAGUUGUAGCAUUCCUGCUGUUAUGGCAAGGAAACACUCUUAUUUCCUAACGUCUUGGUUCUCGUGAAAUAUGGGUAACGCCAUACUUCAGACAUAUUUACAGACGCCAUUGAAGAAAGGGUAGACAACAGCUAGAAACUCCAACACCACAAUACGAUUACAGUAUGUUUUCCUUUCCUUGUUCUUUCAAUUCACCGUAAAUUUCAUCCCAGCUCACAGAAAUCAUCAUUCUUUCCCCCUUUUUAUUUCAAAAUGGUUGCGUAUUUUUCAUUCACGAAAAGGUUAAAGGCGUUUCCCCAUCGCAGGAGGGAUUAUCUUACCAGAGGAUUCUGGGACUGCAGAUGUAUACUGCGGCAAAAUCCUAAAUUCAUCGGCAAAAAAAAAAAAAAAUUUCCAAACCCCAGCUGCUAAAAAUCAUGGAAUUAGAGGAAAUCAUUGGUAAGAUUAAAACAUAAAGCCAGUUUUACAUUCCAAACCGCUCUAAAACACGAGUCUUUUCUCUUAAUUCGUUUCUUAAAUAAUGCAAAUUUUAAAGUAGCUUUUCUAUCCCAAGCACGCAGCGCCAUGAAAUCGAUAAUUUUUGAUCUUUUGGUUAGUAGGCAACAUGGUGAGCUAUUGCAGUGACUGCAGGCAGCAGACAUGUUCUUGUCAGCUCCAAAUUUUCAUCUUGUUUUGGAGUCCAUGGAGAUUUGUGGAUGGGAUACAGCCAGUUUCAAGCUCCAGCUUGCACUUUGCUGGGGGGACGUAAACCAGCACCCUUUUAGAUGCGUCUAUAGAUACAGAUAUAUGUUUUAAAAAGAAGAAGCAUUACUGGAUUUUAAACAAAAAAUUAUGUAAAAAGAAUGGCUGGUGUGAUUAUAAUCGCAUCAUGCAGGGUCCACGGUUUCCAUUUAGUGAAAUUUCGCAGAGGGCAACUUCUUAAGAACAUCCCUGCUGUGCAGAGUGAAAAGCAUGAACAAACCAAAGACAGAAUUCAUCUGUGUUUAUAUUUUACAGACAAUGAAAAACCUACUCUUUGUAUGCCUUUUUUUCCACCUUAUUAUUUCACGAAAACUGCAGCAUUUUCCCCGCCCCCACCCGAACACUCACCACCCCAGCACUGCAGUGUUCGGGCUUGCUUGCUUGCUUUCUUUCUUUCUGUCUCUUUUUUUUGCCAUCUCUUCUUCUUCUUUUUUGCUUUCACAAAUUCUGCAUGCGCCAUCUUUGUCUAUUGUUACUCUUUUCUAAUUUCUCUUGCCCGUUCUCUUUCAAAUCAGCUAAUAAACACAAGGCUAAAUGCCUGAUCAAUGCUUAUGUGUUAUAUUCUCCCCAUCUUUUUUCUUUUGAAGAAAUAAAAUUAAAAAUAAAUUUAAAAGAAUCAACAGAACCAACACCCCAUGCCCCAAAAUUUCUGUAUUACCAUAACCUGUUGUAUACAGUGGUGAUAAAAAACAUUAUUAACAUAAUAGCAACAGCUGCAGCCUAAAUAGAAGCUAUGAGAUAAUAAAUGUGCUACAACAAAUUAA